rnacentral:rRNA from 1 species
UACGAAGGGGGCUAGCGUUGUUCGGAAUCACUGGGCUUAAAGGGCGCGUAGGCGGUCCAUCAAGUCAGGGGUGAAAUCCUGCAGCUUAACUGUAGAAGUGCCUUUGAUACUGAUGGUCUGGAGGGAGAUAGGGGUGUGUGGAACUUCCAGUGGAGCGGUGAAAUGCGUUGAUAUUGGAAGGAACGCCGGAGGCGAAAGCGACGCACUGGAUCUCUACUGACGCUGAGGCGCGAAAGCCAGGGGAGCAAACGGG